ACGGAAGCUCUGCCUGUGCGACCGCCGCCCACCCGAGCCUAUCUGGGCUGCGUCUUCUCGCCGCUGCUCUUCGUGGCCCAACGCCCCAAUCCUUGCGUGUGCUUGCAGUCCCACCCCACACUCAGCCUUGUGUCCCUCGAUCCAGUCUCCGACUUCCAUUUCCCACCCUAAACCGCCUACCCGGUGUCUGUUCCCCGCCCGGUUGUCCUCGCCCUGCUGCGCUGAGUGUCCCCUGUUAGCCUCGACCCCAUGGCGCUGCAGACGCUGCAGAGCUCGUGGGUGACCUUCCGCAAGAUCCUGUCUCACUUCCCCGAGGAGCUGAGUCUGGCUUUCGUCUACGGCUCCGGGGUGUACCGCCAGGCAGGGCCGAGUUCAGACCAGAAGUCAUAUCUGACGGCAGCUUCCAGAACAUGCUGGCUCCCAUAUCCACAGAGCACUUUCCUCCAACACGGCUCCCUACCCUUCCCUGUGCUUCCCCCAGUGCUUCCAGCAAGUCUGUUUAACUCACGUGUCCUUCAAGACUCAGAUUUGUCAUCUCUAGGAGAAUUUCUCCCUCCUGUGCCCCUGAUCUGAUCCCUAUGCUGAGUGCAAAUGCUAUGCUGGACUUUGUGUUCACAGUAGAUGACCCUGUCGCAUGGCAUUCAAAGAACCUGAAGAAAAAUUGGAGUCACUACUCUUUCCUAAAAGUUUUAGGGCCCAAGAUUAUCACGUCCAUCCAGAAUAACUAUGGCGCUGGAGUUUACUACAAUUCAUUGAUCAUGUGUAAUGGUAGGCUUAUCAAAUAUGGAGUUAUUAGCACUAACGUUCUGAUUGAAGAUCUCCUCAACUGGAAUAACUUAUACAUUGCUGGACGACUCCAAAAACCGGCCUCUCUGGCAGUGUCCCAAGAGUUCACUGGCUUUUCACUCUGAACAACAAAUAACAGUGCUGCUGAGACAAGUUCCUAGUUCACCUUUCAUUGAAGAACCAGAUCAGCACAGUAGCAGAAUCUUCCGAACUGACAUUUUUCCUUUGAGUGAAAAUUAUCUCAGUGAACGAGGAUGUCACUCUUAGAUCAGCCCUCGAUAGAAAUCUGAAGAGUGCUGUGACCGCUGCUUUCCUCAUGCUCCCCGAAAGCUUUUCUGAAGAAGACCUCUUCAUAGAGAUUGCCGGUCUCUCCUAUUCAGGUGACUUUCGGAUGGUGGUUGGAGAAGAUAAAACAAAAGUGUUGAAUAUUGUGAAGCCCAAUAUAGCCCACUUUCGAGAGCUCUAUGGCAGCAUACUACAGGAAAAUCCUCAAGUGGUGUAUAAAAGCCAGCAAGGCUGGCUGGAGGUAACUGUAUGUGGAAAAUAGCUUGUAUUGUUUCUAAGACAAAGGCUAUUUGCAGGAAGAAAGUCAGGGGUAGAACAGCAUGACUGGUGUGAGAACAUUUAUAGUUUAAAAAGUAAGUACUGUAUGUAAACAUAGGCUUCUGUGUAUCUGGAAUAAUGCUAAAAGGUAACAGACUAGUAAUAAGAGGCUGCCUUUGGAGAAGGGAACUAGGGGCAGAAGUGGGAGAGGGACUUGUUUUGACCAUGUAUAUCUUUUUUGCCAUUGGAAAUUAUUACCAUGUCUAUCAAUUACCAAUCAAAACAAGUGAAAAUAAACUUUUAGAUCACUCUCAUUCCAUCCCCAGACCCAUUUAGCUCCCCAGAGGUAACUGUACUGACAGUUUGGUGUCUGGUUGUUGUUGUUUUUUUUUCUUUUUUUGGGGGGACAGGGUCUGACUCUGUUCCCAGGCUAGAGUGCAGUGGCACGAUCUCGGCUUACUGCAGCCUCAACACCCCCCAGCCUGGGAUCAAGCCAUCCUCCCACCUCAGCCUCCUGAGUAGCUGGGACUACAGGUGCAUGCCACCACACCUGGCCAAUUUUUGUAUUUUUUUUGUAGAGACAGGGUUUUGCCAUGUUGCACAGGCUGGUCUCAAACUCUUGAGCUCAAGCAGUCUGCCCGCCCCAGCGUCCAAAAGUACUGGGAUUAUAGGGAUGAGCCACUGCACCCAGCCUGCUGUCUGUUCUUCCAGAUCUUUUCACGUGUACUUUUGUAUAUGUUUGUAUGCAUAUAGGAAGAGGUUUGGUUUUGUUAUACAUUAAUGGGCUCAUACAUAUUCAAAAUUCUCUUCUUUCCCCACUUGUUUUGUUUAUUAUGUCUGGGAAUUUUUCUUUUUGAUAUAUCAAAUAAAACUUUCUUAUCAA